GUACCACCUGAAGAUACUGAGUUUCAUGUGAUUUUGAAAGCUAAGCAGAGUUGGACCUAUUUAGUACUUGGGUGGGAGGCCAUCAAGGAUGAGUAGGGACC
rnacentral:rRNA from 1 species